rnacentral:lncRNA from 1 species
AUAAUGAAGCUAAUUGCAUUUAGCUCAUACUAAGUCAAUAGAGUAUAUCAAGAACUGUAGUGAGUUUGUUGUGCUAUCCAUAAGGCUUGCUAUAGUGAUUGGUAUGAUGUUGACCUAGUGAUGCUUAUGGUAUGUUCUGGUAGUGGUACUUUGUUGUGCUAUCCACAAAGAUAGUAUUAUUCAGAUAUGAUCAUAUAGGAUUGAAGGAUAUGACUUAACUAAAAUACUAUAGUUUGUUGUGCUAUCCAUAAGGCUGUAAGUAUUUUAGAGACA